rnacentral:rRNA from 1 species
UAUUGCACAAUGGGGGAAACCCUGAUGCAGCGACGCCGCGUGAGUGAAGAAGUAUUUCGGUAUGUAAAGCUCUAUCAGCAGGGAAGAAAAUGACGGUGCCUGACUAAGAAGCCCCGGCUAACUACGUGCCAGCAGCCGCGGUAAUACGUAGGGGGCAAGCGUUAUCCGGAUUUACUGGGUGUAAAGGGAGCGUAGACGGCGGAACAAGUCAGAAGUGAAAACCCGGGGCCCAACCCUGGGAGUGCUUUUGAAACUGUUUGGCUGGAGUGCAGGAGAGGUAAGCGGAAUUCCUAGUGUAGCGGUGAAAUGCGUAGAUAUUAGGAGGAACACCAGUGGCGAAGGCGGCUUACUGGACUGUAACUGACGUUGAGGCUCGAAAGCGUGGGGAGCAAACAGG